rnacentral:rRNA from 2 species
CUCCUACGGGAGGCAGCAGUGGGGAAUAUUGGACAAUGGGCGCAAGCCUGAUCCAGCCAUGCCGCGUGAGUGAUGAAGGCCUUAGGGUUGUAAAGCUCUUUCGCCAGGGACGAUAAUGACGGUACCUGGAUAAGAAGCCCCGGCUAACUUCGUGCCAGCAGCCGCGGUAAUACGAAGGGGGCUAGCGUUGUUCGGAUUUACUGGGCGUAAAGCGCACGUAGGCGGAUCUUUAAGUCAGGGGUGAAAUCCCGAGGCUCAACCUCGGAACUGCCUUUGAUACUGGAGGUCUCGAGUCCGGGAGAGGUGAGUGGAACUGCGAGUGUAGAGGUGAAAUUCGUAGAUAUUCGCAAGAACACCAGUGGCGAAGGCGGCUCACUGGCCCGGUACUGACGCUGAGGUGCGAAAGCGUGGGGAGCAAACGGGAUUAGAUACCCUGGUAGUCCACGCUGUAAACGAUGAUAACUAGCUGUCCGGGGACUUGGUCUUUGGAUGGCGCAGCUAACGCAUUAAGUUAUCCGCCUGGGGAGUACGGCCGCAAGGUUAAAACUCAAAUGAAUUGACGGGGACCCGCACAAGCGGUGGAGCAUGUGGUUUAAUUCGAAGCAACGCGAAGAACCUUACCAGGUCUUGACAUCCUCUGAAAACCCUAGAGAUAGGGCUUCUCCUUCGGGAGCAGAGUGACAGGUGGUGCAUGGUUGUCGUCAGCUCGUGUCGUGAGAUGUUGGGUUAAGUCCCGCAACGAGCGCAACCCUUGAUCUUAGUUGCCAUCAUUAAGUUGGGCACUCUAAGGUGACUGCCGGUGACAAACCGGAGGAAGGUGGGGAUGACGUCAAAUCAUCAUGCCCCUUAUGACCUGGGCUACACACGUGCUACAAUGGACGGUACAAAGGGUUGCCAAGCCGCGAGGUGGAGCUAAUCCCAUAAAACCGAUCGUAGUCCGGAUCGCAGUCUGCAACUCGACUGCGUGAAGUCGGAAUCGCUAGUAAUCGCGAAUCAGAAUGUCGCGGUGAAUACGUUCCCGGGCCUUGUACACACCGCCCGU